CCCAGCACACUGUAGCUCAGGGGUAGAGCAUCUGCUUUGCAUGCAGAAGGUCCCAGGUUGAAUAACAUCUCCAGGGCUGGGA